CCUACGGGGUGCAGCAGUGAGGAAUAUUGGUCAAUGGACGCAAGUCUGAACCAGCCAAGUAGCGUGCAGGAUGACGGCCCUCCGGGUUGUAAACUGCUUUUAGUUGGGAAUAAAAGGGGGCUCGUGAGCCCCGUAUUGUAUGUACCAUCAGAAAAAGGACCGGCUAAUUCCGUGCCAGCAGCCGCGGUAAUACGGAAGGUCCGGGCGUUAUCCGGAUUUAUUGGGUUUAAAGGGAGCGUAGGCCGGCUUUUAAGUCAGCUGUGAAGUCCGCGGCUCAACCGUGGAAUUGCAGUUGAAACUGGAGGCCUUGAGUGCACACAGGGAUGCCGGAAUUCAUGGUGUAGCGGUGAAAUGCGUAGAUAUAUGGAAGAACACCAGUGGCGAAAGCGGCUCUCUGGUCUGUAACUGACGCUGAGGUUCGAAAGCGUGGGUAGCAAACAGGAUUAGAUACCCUUGUAGUC
rnacentral:rRNA from 1 species